GCUGGGGCCGCUGCGCCGGCGGCGGUUCCCGAUGUGGAGGUCCGUCCUGGGUGGGGAGGCACGGAAGGUCGCUGGUUCGAUGCGGAGGAAGAAACCACACCUAGCACUUAAAGCCCUGAAAAAAUAGAGAUGGAGUUUUGCUCUUCUCACCCAGGCUGGAAUGCAAUGGCAUGAUCCCAACUCACUGCAACCUCUGCCUCCCGGGUUCAAGCAAUUCUCCUGCCUCAGCCUCCUGAGUAGCUGGGAUUACAGGUCCCCACCACCAUGCUCAGCUAAUUUUUGUAUUUUUAGUAGAGACGGGGUUUCACCAUGUUGGCCAGGCUGGUCUCGAACUCCUGAGCUCAGGUAAUCCAUCUGCCUUGGCCUCCCAAAGUGCUGGGAUUACAGGCAUGAGGCACCGCGCCUGUCCUUGAGGUGUACAGUAGAGUUUUCCAGAGGCUACAUGACAUGCAGUAUCACAACAGAAGCAAAUAUAAGAAUCCACCUGUCUCCUGUUAAAAUGCAAAAUGUAAAACAAUACCACUUUCCUAACUGUUUUUGUUUGGGGAAAUAUAGUUCAUAAAAAUCUUUAUGUUAACAUGUAAUUUAGGUUAAAAUAAAUUAAUAAAUAUUUGUAAA